rnacentral:rRNA from 1 species
GACGAACGCUGGCGGCGCGCCUAACACAUGCAAGUCGAGCGAUGAAAGUUGUUCAGAUCCUUCGGGUGACGAACUUCCGGCUUAGCGGCGAACGGGUGAGUAACGCGUGAGGAACCUGCCUCUCACAACGGGAUAGCCUCGGGAAACCGGGAUUAAUACCGUAUGACACUAUCAGAUGGCAUCAUCAGGUAGUUAAAGUGCUAGCGGUGAGAGAUGGCCUCGCGUCUGAUUAGUUAGUUGGUGGGGUAACGGCCUACCAAGACGACGAUCAGUAACCGGCCUGAGAGGGUGAACGGUCACAUUGGAACUGAGACACGGUCCAAACUCCUACGGGAGGCAGCAGUGGGGAAUCUUGCACAAUGGGGGAAACCCUGAUGCAGCGACGCCGCGUGAGCGAUGAAGGUUUUCGAAUCGUAAAGCUCUGUCCUAUGGGAAGAUAAUGACGGUACCAUAGGAGGAAGCCCCGGCUAACUACGUG